CAAAGACUCCCGGUUGGAUUUCAUGCCUAGGGUGGAAUUAGAAUUCACCACCUCCUGGUUUCUAGGCCAGCAACUUAACCACUGCACUAAAC